rnacentral:rRNA from 1 species
AUUGAACGCUGGCGGCAUGCUUUACACAUGCAAGUCGAACGGUAACAGGUUAAGCUGACGAGUGGCGAACGGGUGAGUAAUGCAUCGGAACGUGCCCGAUCGUGGGGGAUAACGCAGCGAAAGCUGCGCUAAUACCGCAUACGAUCUGAGGAUGAAAGCGGGGGACCGUAAGGCCUCGCGCGAUCGGAGCGGCAGAUGGCAGAUUAGGUAGUUGGUGGGGUAAAGGCCCACCAAGCCGACGAUCUGUAGCUGGUCUGAGAGGACGACCAGCCACACUGGGACUGAGACACGGCCCAGACUCCUACGGGAGGCAGCAGUGGGGAAUUUUGGACAAUGGGCGAAAGCCUGAUCCAGCAAUGCCGCGUGCAGGAAGAAGGCCUUCGGGUUGUAAACUGCUUUUGUACGGAGCGAAAAGGUCCUUUCUAAUACAAGGGGCUCAUGACGGUACCGUAAGAAUAAGCACCGGCUAACUACGUGCCAGCCGCCGCAGUAAGAC